rfam:Streptomyces violaceusniger Tu 4113, complete genome.
CUUGAUGGAGCCCAGCCACAGCGGCUGGUCCUCGGUCUUCUCCUUGCCAUAGGUGGCGAGCAGCGCCUGCGCCUC